rnacentral:rRNA from 1 species
GAUGAACGCUGGCGGCGUGCCUAAUACAUGCAAGUCGAGCGAACGGACGCGAAGUUUGCUUUUCUGAUGUUAGCGGCGGACGGGUGAGUAACACGUGGAUAACCUACCUAUAAGACUGGGAUAACUUCGGGAAACCGGAGCUAAUACCGGAUAAUCUCUUGAACCACAUGGUUCAAAAGUGAACUAAGGUCUUGCUGUCACUUAUAGAUUGAUCCGCGCUGCAUUAGCUAGUUGGUAAGGUAACGGCUUACCAAGGCAACGAUGCAUAGCCGACCUGAGAGGGUGAUCGGCCACACUGGAACUGAGACACGGUCCAGACUCCUACGGGAGGCAGCAGUAGGGAAUCUUCCGCAAUGGGCGAAAGCCUGACGGAGCAACGCCGCGUGAGUGAUGAAGGUCUUCGGAUCGUAAAACUCUGUUAUUAGGGAAGAACAUAUGUGUAAGUAACUGUGCACAUCUUGACGGUACCUAAACAGAAAGCCACGGCUAACUACGUG